rnacentral:rRNA from 1 species
UACGUAGGGAGCAAGCGUUGUCCGGAUUUAUUGGGCGUAAAGAGCUCGUAGGCGGCUUAGUAAGUCAGGUGUGAAACCUCCAGGCUCAACCUGGAGACGCCACGUGAGACUGCCCUGACUCGAGUCCGGUAGGGGAGCGUGGAAUUCCCGGUGUAGCGGUGAAAUGCGCAGAGAUCGGGAGGAACACCCGUAGCGAAGGCGGCGCUCUGGGCCGGUACUGACGCUGAGGAGCGAAAGCGUGGGGAGCAAACAGG